CACUUGUGUUCUGGCUCUCUUCUCUGGAGCACAGAUGACAGCGGACAUGGUACAAUGGUCAGGAAAGGAAAAUGAAAUGAUUUAUUAAGAAAAGGGUGGAGAGAUGACUCAGCGGUUAAAAGCACUGGCUGCUCUUCCAGAGGACCUGAGUUCAAUUCCCAGCAACCACAUAGUGGCUAACAACCAUCUGUAAUGAGAUCUGAUGCCCACUUCAACAGUGUACUUACAUAUACAAAAUAAAUAAAUG
rnacentral:lncRNA from 1 species